CAGCAGCCGCGGUAAUACGUAGGUCCCGAGCGUUAUCCGGAUUUAUUGGGCGUAAAGCGAGCGCAGGCGGUUAGAUAAGUCUGAAGUUAAAGGCUGUGGCUUAACCAUAGUACGCUUUGGAAACUGUUUAACUUGAGUGCAGAAGGGGAGAGUGGAAUUCCAUGUGUAGCGGUGAAAUGCGUAGAUAUAUGGAGGAACACCGGUGGCGAAAGCGGCUCUCUGGUCUGUAACUGACGCUGAGGCUCGAAAGCGUGGGGAGCAAACAGGAUUAGAUACCCCUGUAGUCCCUGUCUCUUAUACA
rnacentral:rRNA from 1 species